rnacentral:rRNA from 1 species
UACGAGGGGGGCAAGCGUUGCUCGGAAUUACUGGGCGUAAAGGGAGCGUAGGCGGGCCGUCAAGUUGGGGGUGAAAGCCCAGGGCUCAACCUUGGAACUGCCUUCAAAACUGACGAUCUAGAGUAUGGAAGAGGUAAGUGGAACUCCGAGUGUAGAGGUGAAAUUCGUAGAUAUUCGGAAGAACACCAGUGGCGAAGGCGACUUACUGGUCCAUGACUGACGCUGAGGCUCGAAAGCGUGGGGAGCAAACAGG